UACGAAGGGGGCUAGCGUUGCUCGGAAUCACUGGGCGUAAAGGGUGCGUAGGCGGGUCUUUAAGUCAGGGGUGAAAUCCUGGAGCUCAACUCCAGAACUGCCUUUGAUACUGAGGAUCUUGAGUUCGGGAGAGGUGAGUGGAACUGCGAGUGUAGAGGUGAAAUUCGUAGAUAUUCGCAAGAACCCCAGUGGCGAAGGCGGCUCACUGGCCCAAUACUGACGCUGAGGCACGAAAGCGUGGGAGCAAACAGG
rnacentral:rRNA from 1 species